rnacentral:rRNA from 1 species
AGAGUUUGAUCCUGGCUCAGAUUGAACGCUGGCGGUAUGCUUUACACAUGCAAGUCGAACGGAUUAAGAAGCUUGCUUCUUAGUUAGUGGCGAACGGGUGAGUAAUAUAUCGGAACAUAUCCGGAAGUGGGGGGAUAACGUAGCGAAAGUUACGCUAAUACCGCAUAUGCCCUGAGGGGGAAAGGGGGGGAUCGCAAGACCUCUCGCUUUCGGAGUGGCCGAUAUCGGAUUAGCUAGUAGGUGAGGUAAAGGCUCACCUAGGCGACGAUCCGUAGCUGGUCUGAGAGGACGACCAGCCACACUGGAACUGAGACACGGUCCAGACUCCUACGGGAGGCAGCAGUGGGGAAUUUUGGACAAUGGGCGAAAGCCUGAUCCAGCCAUACCGCGUGAGUGAAGAAGGCCUUCGGGUUGUAAAGCUCUUUCAGCCGGAAAGAAAUUGCUUCUAUUAAUACUAGGAGUAGAUGACGGUACCGGAAGAAGAAGCACCGGCUAACUACGUGCCAGCAGCCGCGGUAAUACGUAGGGUGCGAGCGUUAAUCGGAAUUACUGGGCGUAAAGCGUGCGCAGGCGGUUUUUUAAGCCAGAUGUGAAAUCCCCGGGCUUAACCUGGGAACUGCAUUUGGAACUGGAAGACUAGAGUAUAGCAGAGGGAGGUAGAAUUCCACGUGUAGCAGUGAAAUGCGUAGAUAUGUGGAGGAAUACCGAUGGCGAAGGCAGCCUCCUGGGUUAAUACUGACGCUCAUGCACGAAAGCGUGGGGAGCAAACAGGAUUAGAUACCCUGGUAGUCCACGCCCUAAACGAUGUCAACUAGGUGUUGGGGGAGGAGACUUCCUUAGUACCGUAGCUAACGCGUGAAGUUGACCGCCUGGGGAGUACGGUCGCAAGAUUAAAACUCAAAGGAAUUGACGGGGACCCGCACAAGCGGUGGAUUAUGUGGAUUAAUUCGAUGCAACGCGAAAAACCUUACCUACCCUUGACAUGUCAGAAAGAUCGCAGAGAUGUGAUUGUGCUCGAAAGAGAAUCUGAACACAGGUGCUGCAUGGCUGUCGUCAGCUCGUGUCGUGAGAUGUUGGGUUAAGUCCCGCAACGAGCGCAACCCUUGUCAUUAAUUGCCAUCAUUUAGUUGGGCACUUUAAUGAGACUGCCGGUGAUAAACCGGAGGAAGGUGGGGAUGACGUCAAGUCCUCAUGGCCCUUAUGGGUAGGGCUUCACACGUAAUACAAUGGUCGGUACAGAGGGUUGCCAACCCGCGAGGGGGAGCUAAUCUCAGAAAGCCGAUCGUAGUCCGGAUUGGAGUCUGCAACUCGACUCCAU